GUAAAUAUAGUUUAACAAAAACAUUAGAUUGUGAGUCUAAUAAUGAAAGUGUAAACCUUCCUAUUUACC
rnacentral:tRNA from 1 species